CCUACGGGAGGCAGCAGUGGGGAAUAUUGGACAAUGGGCGGAAGCCUGAUCCAGCCAUGCCGCGUGUGUGAAGAAGGCCUUUUGGUUGUAAAGCACUUUAAGCGAGGAGGAGGCUACUAGUACUAAUACUACUGGAUAGUGGACGUUACUCGCAGAAUAAGCACCGGCUAACUCUGUGCCAGCAGCCGCGGUAAUACAGAGGGUGCGAGCGUUAAUCGGAUUUACUGGGCGUAAAGCGUGCGUAGGCGGCUUUUUAAGUCGGAUGUGAAAUCCCCGAGCUUAACUUGGGAAUUGCAUUCGAUACUGGGAAGCUAGAGUAUGGGAGAGGAUGGUAGAAUUCCAGGUGUAGCGGUGAAAUGCGUAGAGAUCUGGAGGAAUACCGAUGGCGAAGGCAGCCAUCUGGCCUAAUACUGACGCUGAGGUACGAAAGCAUGGGGAGCAAACAGGAUUAGAUACCCUGGUAGUCCAUGCCGUAAACGAUGUCUACUAGCCGUUGGGGCCUUUGAGGCUUUAGUGGCGCAGCUAACGCGAUAAGUAGACCGCCUGGGGGAGUACGGUCGCAAGACUAAAACGUCAAAGGAAUUGACGG
rnacentral:rRNA from 1 species